rnacentral:rRNA from 1 species
CUCCCUUCGGGGAGUGCAUAAAGUGGCGCACGGGUGAGUAACACGUAGGUAAUCUACCUUUGAGUGGGGAAUAACGACCGGAAACGGUCGCUAAUACCGCAUAAUGCAGCGGCACCACAUGGUGACAGUUGUUAAAGCGGGGGACCCUUCGGGGCCUCGCGCCUAGAGAGGAGCCUGCGGCGGAUUAGCUAGUUGGUGGGGUAACGGCCCACCAAGGCUACGAUCCGUAGCCGGCCUGAGAGGGCGGUCGGCCACACUGGCACUGACACACGGGCCAGACUCCUACGGGAGGCAGCAGUCGGGAAUUUUGGGCAAUGGGCGAAAGCCUGACCCAGCAACGCCGCGUGAAGGAUGAAGUUUUUCGGAAUGUAAACUUCAUAAGAAUGGGACGAAUAAGUGGGGGAUAACACCCCCCAUGAUGACGGUACCAUUUGUAAGCCCCGGCUAACUCCGUGCCAGCAGCCGCGGUAAUACGGGGGGGGCAAGCGUUGUUCGGAUUUACUGGGCGUAAAGGGCGCGUAGGCGGCGCAACAAGUCACUUGUGAAAUCUCCGGGCUUAACUCGGAGCGGCCAAGUGAUACUGUCGUGCUAGAGUGCGGAAGGGGCUACUGGAAUUCUCGGUGUAGCGGUGAAAUGCGUAGAUAUCGAGAGGAACACCUGCGGCGAAGGCGGGUAGCUGGGGCGACACUGACGCUGAGGCGCGAAAGCUAGGGGAGCGAACGGGAUUAGAUACCCCCGUAGUCCUAGCCUUAAACGAUGGAUGCU